rnacentral:rRNA from 1 species
UACAGAGGGGGCAAGCGUUGUUCGGAAUUACUGGGCGUAAAGGGCGCGUAGGCGGCCUUCUAAGUCGAACGUGAAAUCCCCGGGCUCAACCCGGGAACUGCGUCCGAUACUGGAAGGCUUGAAUCCGGGAGAGGGAUGUGGAAUUCCAGGUGUAGCGGUGAAAUGCGUAGAUAUUGGGAGGAACACCAGUGGCGAAGGCGGCUCACUGGACCGGUACUGACGCUGAGGCGCGAAAGCGUGGGGAGCAAACAGG